rnacentral:rRNA from 1 species
AUUGAACGCUGGCGGCAUGCUUAACACAUGUAAGUCGAACGGCAGCAUGUUUUGUAGCAAUACAAAAUGAUGGCGAGUGGCGGACGGGUGAGAAACGCGUAGGAAUCUACCCUAAAGAGGGGGGCAACCCGAGGAAACUCGGGCUAAUACCGCAUAUUACUCUUUGGAGGAAAGGCUGGGGCAACCUGGCGCUUUAGGAGGAGCAUGCGUCCGAUUAGCUAGUUGGUUAGGUAAAGGCUGACCAAGGCGAUGAUCGGUAGCUGGUCUGAGAGGAUGAUCAGCCACACUGGGACUGAGACACGGCCCAGACUCCUACGGGAGGCAGCAGUGGGGAAUAUUGGACAAUGGGGGCAACCCUGAUCCAGCAAUGCCGCGUGUGUGAAGAAGGCCUUCGGGUUGUAAAGCACUUUAGUUGGGGAAGAAGGUGUAUUGUUUAAGAGAUGAUACAUUUGACUGUACCCAAAGAGUAAGCACCGGCUAACUCUGUGCCAGCAGCCGCGGUAA